CCUACGGGAGGCAGCAGUGGGGAAUAUUGCACAAUGGGCGAAAGCCUGAUGCAGCGACGCCGCGUGAGGGAUGACGGCCUUCGGGUUGUAAACCUCUUUCGGCAGGGAAGAAGCGAAAGUGACGGUACCUGCAGAAGAAGCGCCGGCUAACUACGUGCCAGCAGCCGCGGUAAUACGUGGGGCGCAAGCGUUGUCCGGAAUUAUUGGGCGUAAAGAGCUCGUAGGCGGCUUGUCACGUCGGUUGUGAAAGCCCGGGGCUUAACCCCGGGUCUGCAGUCGAUACGGGCAGGCUAGAGUGUGGUAGGGGAGAUCGGAAUUCCUGGUGUAGCGGUGAAAUGCGCAGAUAUCAGGAGGAACACCGGUGGCGAAGGCGGAUCUCUGGGCCAUUACUGACGCUGAGGAGCGAAAGCGUGGGGAGCGAACAGGAUUAGAUACCCUGGUAGUCCACGCCGUAAACGGUGGGAACUAGGUGUUGGCGACAUUCCACGUCGUCGGUGCCGCAGCUAACGCAUUAAGUUCCCCGCCUGGGGAGUACGGCCGCAAGGCUAAAACUCAAAGGAAUUGACGG
rnacentral:rRNA from 1 species